AAUAUGGAGCCAAAAGUCCUCUCGACAACAAGGAAUAUAAAUAGCCUUUUUAAAUUAAAAAUUUAAAGAAAAAUCCAGUUUUCCUCUCUUCUGGUUACUGUUACAUGCAAUUGGGGUUUUAACAAAAUUCUUCUCAGAAAUCUCCCUUCUUUUCAAUAAUCUUUCUUUGUUGAUCAAGAGUAUAUGAUUUUAAUCUAGUUUUGGUGAGAAGCAAGAAAUAAUUUAUAGCUUUCAAAGGGUAGAUUUACAGGUUAAAGAAAGGAUCGGAUGUGAGGAACUCGAAAGGCUACAAUUAAGGAUUCGUUACCUUUCACGAAUACGGUGUUUAAUAGGCUUCAAGAGGCACGACAUUUGCUUAUUGGCAGUCAGGCAGUGCCAUAAAAUAUGGAGACACUCCUGCUCAGCUUGCCCUUGCUUGGGUUCUCAAUCAAGGAGAAGAUGUGGUUCCCAUCCCUGGCAAGUCAACUUCUCCUUUUGUUCAUGUUUUCAUUUGAACUACAGAUAUUUAGAUCAACGUACCAAAUUCCAGUUUGCAAUAAAUGCCUUCAUGGAAUUGUUUAGGUACAGCCAAGAUUAAAAAUCUGGAAGAAAUUUCCGCCUUCCUGCAAUAUGUCACUAGUGAAUUGUAGUGCAUCAGAUUUGCUAAUUU